UACGAAGGGGGCUAGCGUUGCUCGGAAUCACUGGGCCUAAAGCAUCCGUAGCCGGUUCUACAAGUCUUCCGUUAAAUCCAGCUGCUUAACAGAUGGGCUGCGGAAGAUACUAUGGAGCUAGGAGGCGGGAGAGGCAAGCGGUACUCGAUGGGUAGGGGUAAAAUCCGUUGAUCCAUUGAAGACCACCAGUGGCGAAGGCGGCUUGCCAGAACGCGCUCGACGGUGAGGGAUGAAAGCUGGGGGAGCAAACCGG
rnacentral:rRNA from 1 species